rnacentral:sRNA from 1 species
CCCUAGCCCAGAUAGCAGUGAAAAUCCUUUUAUUUUUUUCUUUAAAAAAUAAAAGAUUGCAACGUAUAGCUGGAAAUAGC